UACGUAGGGUGCGAGCGUUAAUCGGAAUUACUGGGCGUAAAGCGUGCGCAGGCGGUUCGUUGUGUCGGCGGUGAAAGCCCCGGGCUUAACCUGGGAAUGGCCGUUGAAACUGGCGAACUGGAGUGUGGCAGAGGGGGGUGGAAUUCCGCGUGUAGCAGUGAAAUGCGUAGAGAUGCGGGGGAACACCGAUGGCGAAGGCAGCCCCCUGGGCUAACACUGACGCUCAGGCACGAAAGCGUGGGGAGCAAACAGG
rnacentral:rRNA from 1 species